rnacentral:rRNA from 1 species
UACGUAGGGGGCGAGCGUUGUCCGGAUUCAUUGGGCGUAAAGAGCUCGUAGGCGGCCAACUAAGUCAUACGUGAAAUCCCUCGGCUUAACCGGGGAACUGCGUCUGAUACUGGAUGGCUUGAGUUCGGGAGAGGGAUGCGGAAUUCCAGGUGUAGCGGUGAAAUGCGUAGAUAUCUGGAGGAAUACCGGUGGCGAAGGCGGCAUCCUGGACCGACAUUGACGCUGAACGGCGAAAGCUAGGGGAGCAAACGGG